ensembl:rRNA 5S_rRNA 5S ribosomal RNA
GCCUACGGCCAAUACCACCCUGAAAGCGCCCGCUCUCGUCUGAUCUCGGAAGCUAAGCAGGGACGGGCCUGGUUAGUACCUGGAUGGGAGACCGCCUGGGAAUACCAGGUGUUGUAGACU